AUGGAGGAUAUCUUGCGCAAGUACAUCCGGUACGCAUUGAAUGAGAAACCAUUUAAUGCAGAACUGGUUGCCAACUUAAUCCAGCUUAGGAGAGUGUCAACAUUGGAUGACUCUCAAGUUGCUGACAUUGUGAAUGACAUCUCAAGACGGAUUGUGAAGGAAAAAGGCCCAGUUGUCAUGGAUAUGACAGGGUAUACCGAAAGAGGAUUUAAGAGAAAACUUGCUGUGCAAGCCCUUUUUGGAAAGGUGUAUUAUUUAUCUGAGCUGCCGG
rnacentral:misc_RNA from 1 species